UACGUAGGGAGCAAGCGUUGUCCGGAAUCAUUGGGCGUAAAGAGCGUGUAGGCGGCCCGGUAAGUCCGCUGUGAAAGUCGGGGGCUCAACCCUCGAAUGCCGGUGGAUACUGUCGGGCUCGAGUCCGGAAGAGGCGAGUGGAAUUCCUGGUGUAGCGGUGAAAUGCGCAGAUAUCAGGAGGAACACCAAUGGCGAAGGCAGCUCGCUGGGACGUGACUGACGCUGAGACGCGAAAGCGUGGGGAGCAAACAGG
rnacentral:rRNA from 1 species